AGGGGUGAGCGUGGUUCCGGGUAGAACCGGGAACCGGAACCGAACCGGAGGAGGUUCCGGUUCGGUUCCCGGUUCUAAGGGGACCGGUUACGGUUCCCAUAGGAACCGGAACCUGAGGAACCGGAACCGGCAAAGUUAAAAAAUAAAAAACCCUAAUUCCUUCCAUGCGAUUUUCCCCCCUUCUGUUCAACUUUCCCCCCUUUCCCUUUCUUUUUCUCUCUCUUUUCUCCACUUUUUCCUCCUCACGUCACUUCCUGCCCCCCACUUUUUUCUUUUCCUCUCUCUCUCUCUCUCUCUCUCUCUCUCUUCUCUUUCCCCCUCUCUCGGCCAAACCCCCCCCCCCCCCACCUCUUCUUCUUCUUCUUCCUUCCUCUCGCCGGUUGCUGCUUCACCCACCACCGCACCGCCACCCCACGCCCUACUCACCACCACCUCUUGGCCACCGAACCCCCACCACCCAC
rnacentral:lncRNA from 1 species